rnacentral:rRNA from 1 species
AUUGAACGCUGGCGGCAUGCCUUACACAUGCAAGUCGAACGGCAGCACGGGUGCUUGCACCUGGUGGCGAGUGGCGAACGGGUGAGUAAUACAUCGGAACAUGUUCUGUAGUGGGGGAUAGCCCGGCGAAAGCCGGAUUAAUACCGCAUACGAUCUACGGAUGAAAGCGGGGGACCUUCGGGCCUCGCGCUAUAGGGUUGGCUGAUAGCUGAUUAGCUAGUUGGUGGGGUAAAGGCCUACCAAGGCGACGAUCAGUAGCUGGUCUGAGAGGACGACCAGCCACACUGGGACUGAGACACGGCCCAGACUCCUACGGGAGGCAGCAGUGGGGAAUUUUGGACAAUGGGCGAAAGCCUGAUCCAGCAAUGCCGCGUGUGUGAAGAAGGCCUUCGGGUUGUAAAGCACUUUUGUCCGGAAAGAAAUCCUUGGCUCUAAUACAGUCGGGGGAUGACGGUACCGGAAGAAUAAGCACCGGCUAACUACGUG